ACGCUGGCGGCGUGCUUAACACAUGCAAGUCGAACGAUGAAGCCUAGCUUGCUAGGUGGAUUAGUGGCGAACGGGUGAGUAAUACGUGAGUAACCUACCUUUAACUCUGGGAUAAGCCUGGGAAACUGGGUCUAAUACCGGAUACGACCAAUCUCCGCAUGGGGUGUUGGUGGAAAGCGUUAUGUAGUGGUUAUAGAUGGGCUCACGGCCUAUCAGCUUGUUGGUGAGGUAACGGCUCACCAAGGCGACGACGGGUAGCCGGCCUGAGAGGGUGACCGGCCACACUGGGACUGAGACACGGCCCAGACUCCUACGGGAGGCAGCAGUGGGGAAUAUUGCACAAUGGGCGCAAGCCUGAUGCAGCGACGCCGCGUGAGGGAUGACGGCCUUCGGGUUGUAAACCUCUGUUAGCAGGGAAGAAGAGAAAUUGACGGUACCUGCAGAGAAAGCGCCGGCUAACUGCGUGCCAGCAGCCGCGGUAAUACGUAGGGCGCGAGCGUUGUCCGGAAUUAUUGGGCGUAAAGAGCUUGUAGGCGGUUUGUCGCGUCUGCUGUGAAAGGCCGGGGCUUAACCCCGUGUAUUGCAGUGGGUACGGGCAGACUAGAGUGCAGUAGGGGAGACUGGAACUCCUGGUGUAGCGGUGGAAUGCGCAGAUAUCAGGAAGAACACCGAUGGCGAAGGCAGGUCUCUGGGCUGUAACUGACGCUGAGAAGCGAAAGCAUGGGGAGCGAACAGGAUUAGAUACCCUGGUAGUCCAUGCCGUAAACGUUGGGCACUAGGUGUGGGGGACAUUCCACGUUUUCCGCGCCGUAGCUAACGCAUUAAGUGCCCCGCCUGGGGAGUACGGCCGCAAGGCUAAAACUCAAAGAAAUUGACGGGGGCCCGCACAAGCGGCGGAGCAUGCGGAUUAAUUCGAUGCAACGCGAAGAA
rnacentral:rRNA from 1 species